CUACGGGACGCUCCAGUCGAGAAUCUUUGGCAAUGGACGAAAGUCUGACCAAGCGACGCCGCGUGCGGGAUGAAGGCCUUCGGGUUGUAAACCGCUGUCAGUUGGGAGGAAAUCACAUGGGGUUCUCUCCAUGUGUUGACCUAUCUUCAGAGGAAGGACGGGCUAAGUUCGUGCCAGCAGCCGCGGUAAGACGAACCGUCCAAACGUUAUUCGGAAUCACUGGGCUUAAAGGGUGCGUAGGCGGCCCUGUAAGUUGGGUGUGAAAUCCCUCGGCUCAACCGAGGAAUUGCGCCCAAUACUGCAGGGCUAGAGGGAGACAGAGGUGAGCGGAACUUGUGGUGGAGCGGUGAAAUGCGUUGAUAUCACAAGGAACACCUGUGGCGAAAGCGGCUCACUGGGUCUCUUCUGACGCUGAGGCACGAAAGCUGGGGGAGCGAACGGGAUUAGAUACCCUAGUAGUC
rnacentral:rRNA from 1 species